rnacentral:rRNA from 1 species
GUCUUACCUGCUCACUGAUAUUAAUUUAAAGAGCCGCGGUAUUAUGACCGUGCAAAGGUAGCAUAAUCAUUAGUUUCUUAAUUGGAGACUGGAAUGAAUGGUUUGACGAGAAAUUGACUGUCUCUUAAUAAAUUCUGGAAUUUAACUUUUAAGUCAAAAGGCUUAAAUUUUUCUUUAGGACGAGAAGACCCUAUAGAGCUUUACAUUUAUAAAUUGAUUUAUAUAUAUAGUUGAUUUUUUAUAUUAAUUUUUAUUGUUUGGUUGGGGUGACAUGAAGAAUAAAUAAACUCUUCAUUAUAAAAUCAUUAAUUUAUGUUUAUUUGAUCCAUAAUUUAUGAUUAUAAGAUUAAGUUACCUUAGGGAUAACAGCGUAAUCAUUUUUGAGAGUUCUUAUCGAUAAAGUGGAUUGCGACCUCGAUGUUGGAUUAAGAUUAAUUAUAGGUGUAGUAGCUUAAUAAUUAGGUCUGUUCGACCUUUAAAUUCUU